rnacentral:tRNA from 1 species
AACGAUGGUUUUUCAGGCCAUAGAUCUUGGGUUGUUCCAAGUGAGAACUC